UACAGAGGGUGCGAGCGUUGUCCGGAAUCACUGGGCGUAAAGGGCGCGUAGGUGGCGACCCAAGUCAAUGGUGAAAGCUCGAUGCUUAACAUCGAGUCGGCCACUGAUACUGGGUUGCUGGAGCACUGUAGAGGCUCAUGGAAUUCCGGGUGUAGCGGUGGAAUGCGUAGAGAUCCGGAAGAACACCGGUGGCGAAGGCGGUGAGCUGGGCAGUUGCUGACACUGAGGCGCGACAGCGUGGGGAGCAAACAGG
rnacentral:rRNA from 1 species